GUUCAAACAUUGUUUUGUGACAAUUGUAGCUGCCAUUAUAUUAAAAUUAGUAACGACUGACUAUUGGAUCGACCAAACUGAACCAUUUUAAAAUCCUAAAUGACCAAAAUGAAAAAAAAAAGAUAAAAGACUAAAAAUGUUAUUUAACCGUCAUUUUUUCUUCUUAGAAUCUGUACCGCUAACUUGUUAUUGUGGUCUUGUUAAUGCUUGCUUUCUUUAAUUAUUAUUAUUAUUAUUAUUAUUUACCCUCUUCAAUGAAAUAUGACAUAAAAGUCAAUGGGCCAUUUUUUCCAACGUUGGUUAAAUGAUAUAACAAGUUUUGGAGGUAAAAAUUCCAGUACUUGUUGCAUUGCAUUACAUUCAAGUCAAUUGCAUUGCAUUCUGGUACCAUGCAGAUGUUCUGAAAAGUGUAGUUAUUAAGGUUAGGAAGGGUUGUUUGCACUAUUUGAAUAUCAAUCGUUUUGUUAACCUAUGUUACUGUUUACUGUUAAGCUUUGACUUGAGAUACAUGGAUAUAUAUAUAUGAUUCGGUUGCGGGAUUAAUGCACUAAUUUUAGGCUCAAUAAUAAUUUAUUUAUGAGAUGAAUACGCUUAAUUUUUGGGAGAAGAUUCCGUGUAUUUGACCUGAAUUGUAAAUUUGGACUGAACAAGCCCGUGAUAAUAGAUUAAUAAGAUAAAUGAAAUGAAAUAAAAUAUAAAUACAAAUAUAAUAAGGAAUAGAUUUGGUGUCGUUAGGUUUAUAAUUUAAGUGCUAUAUUAAUGAAUAAUUUGGUUACUUUAUCACAUUUUGUUCUAUUUUAUUUUAGAGAAUCUGAGUCUAAAAAGAAGACGAUCUGCACGAUAAUGUAUAUCAGAAAAAAAUGUAUUUUAAGUUAAAAAAAAUUAAUAGUGCUUCUGACAUUGAAGGAUCUCGAUUCUCAACUAUAUAUGUUUGUCUUGGUUUGGUAUAAAGAGCGGCGUGGGCUUCAUUUGUUACGCCACAAAAUCCGCGGAUCAGUGAUCAAUUACUAAGCCAUCGCUCCCCACAAACUUUCUUAUUCAAACUUUUUCACACAACAGUGAUUACCCAACAAGUGACAACACAACACAAAAAUCACCAAUCAUACAUACUCUUUAAUUACCCAUUCUUUCCUUCCUCCUCCAGCAAGCUGCACACAGCACUACUACCAUAUAACUUUUUCUAGUGGUCGCCGCAUCGUUGACGCUGACUGUACGUACUUCAUCUCCUUCAGAAUUCGGAAGGAUGCCAUAAACAAGCCACAUUAUGGUAUAGAAAUUUUUGGGAGUAAGGGUACGUCCCGUCAGUGUCAAAGAUGUGGCGAAUACUAGAAAACCUUUUGUCAUUUGAAAGCAUUUGAAUGGUUGUCAGUAUGUCCAAUCAGACCUCAUUUGUCACUUUGACUGUUCAUCUAUUUUUUUCCACAGAUAUCCUCUUCAGAAACAAUUUAACUUGAGCCUCGCCCUACUAAAAAUAAGUGUGGGAUUUUCUCGCCCAACCACAGGAUCCUGGUUGUUGAAAUCGAGGUGUUUGACCUGCUUGAUCUUUGUUUAAAUCUGAAACAUGAAGACAGAAAGAUACUGUCAGCUUUGAUUUAUUUCUUCUUUUGUUGAUAAAAUCCGUCAGUGUUUGAUGAUGAGCAAGCCCUGUUGAAUAGAAGCAGCAUCAAGUCAUCAACCAAGACUGUUACCGUUGUGUUUGUGUGUGUAAAACCUUGGAGCGCUUCCGAUUCACGGGUUGGUCAUGAUUUGCCCUCCGUCCGUGUUUGGGCGAUGGGAAUGAGGCUCAGUAAACCAUAUUGCGGAGGAAUAUGCCUUUUCACCAAUUCAACGAAGUCAGUAGAGAACAGGUUAUUGUUCCGGUACUAAACAUGAAAAAUAUAAAGUAUAAAGCAUAAAUUAAUAGAUAACAAAAAAAGGUCAUCUAACAAUUAAAUAAUAACAGGAUCCUUAUCAAUAAAUCAUAUAAUCUAUUAUAUAUUA